AUUGAACGCUGGCGGCAGGCUUAACACAUGCAAGUCGAACGAGUGGCGGACGGGUGAGUAAUGCUUGGGAAUCUCGCUUAUGGAGGGGGAUAACUACUGGAAACUGUAGCUAAUACCGCGUACCAUAGGAUGAGAUCAAGUGGGAUUAGGUAGUUGGUGGGGUAAAGGCUCACCAAGGCGACGAUCUCUAGCUGGUCUGAGAGGAGGACCAGCCACACGGGGACUGAGACACGGCCCAGACUCCUACGGGAGGCAGCAGUGGGGAAUAUUGCGCAAUGGGGGCAACCCUGACGCAGCCAUGCAGCGUGAAUGAAGAAGGCCUUCGGGUUGUAAAGUACUGUCAGCGGGGAGGCGUUACCCGCAGAAGAAGCACCGGCUAACUCCGUGCCAGCCGCCGCGGUAAUAC
rnacentral:rRNA from 1 species